rnacentral:rRNA from 1 species
UAACAAGGAUUCCCCUAGUAACGGCGAGCGAAGCGGGAAGAGCUCAAAUUUGAAAGCUGGCACCUCCGGUGUCCGCGUUGUAAUCUCGAGACGUGUUUUCCGUGCGGCUCUAUGGACAAGUCCCUUGGAAUAGGGCACCGUAGAGGGUGAGAAUCCCGUACUUGCCAUGGAAGAACCGUGCUUUGCGAUACACGCUCUAAGAGUCGAGUUGUUUGGGAUUGCAGCUCAAAAUGGGUGGUAGACUCCAUCUAAAGCUAAAUAUCGGGGAGAGACCGAUAGCGAACAAGUACCGUGAGGGAAAGAUGAAAAGCACUUUGGAAAGAGAGUUAAAAGUGCGUGAAAUUGUCGAAAGGGAAGCACUUGAAGUCAGCCAUGCUGCUUGAGACUCAGCCUGGCCUUUGGGCUUGGUGUAUUUCUCGGUGGCAAGCCAGCAUUGGUUUGGGUCGUCGGAGAAGCGCAUAGGGAAUGUAGCGUCCCCGGACGUGUUAUAGCCUUAUGCAGGAUACGACGACCUGGAUCAAGGAACGCAGUGUGCCCUCUGGGCGGGUCUUCGGACACCUUCACACUUAGGAUGCUGGCGUAAU